rnacentral:rRNA from 1 species
UACGUAGGUGGCAAGCGUUGUCCGGAUUUACUGGGUGUAAAGGGCGUGUAGCCGGGCUGACAAGUCAGAUGUGAAAUCCGGGGGCUCAACCCCCGAACUGUAUUUGAAACUGUUGGUCUUGAGUAUCGGGGAGGCAGGCGGAAUUCCUAGUGUAGCGGUGAAAUGCGUAGAUAUUAGGAGGAACACCAGUGGCGAAGGCGGCCUGCUGGACGACAACUGACGGUGAGGCGCGAAAGCGUGGGGAGCAAACAGG